CAAGCGAAUAUGGCUUUUAGUUUAUUUGUUACGGUGUCAUCAAAGAUUAGAAACCUUUUUUAUCUAAAAAGUCCUUUUGUUGUUAGUGUAUAAAACAGGGUUACAAAUCGUCCCUUAUUUAACUUCGAUUUUCAGAUUUUUCGCACACUACAGCAACAUUUAGCUAAUUAAUUUAUGUAUGAUUUGAUUGCUAUUAUAUAUUUUAGCAUUUUCACGGAACUAAAAUACAAAUAUCGAUUUGUUAGCUUCAGUAAGCUUUUCCAUCCAAGUAAAGUUCUCUUUUAAAGCCAGCUGACAAGGAAUAAGCUCAAUUUUCCAGGCGGGGAUUGCGCAUGCUCCCUUAUUUGUGAAGCGAAAGGUCCUAUUCGAUUUGUAAGCUUUCUAUCGAAUAACAAUUUACGAUUGGCGAUCGAUUGUUCAUUUAGUGCAAUAAAUUAUAAAUUGUAUUCAAUAAAUUAGAACAUACCUGAGGUUAAAAGGCAAUUGCAAAUGGGAACGUGGCUUGCAACCAUUUGUGCUCUGUUUUCAAAUUUUACAGUGCCUAAAAGGUUGCGAAGACGAAAUUAAACAUUUUGUUGCUUUGUGUCUAUAUGCUAACACUUUUAUGAAUCAAUAUGUAUUUACACUUCUUACAAAUUUGAUCACAUUUAAAGAUGAUAAUAUAUAAAACAGUGCUCACGCGAAGAAUAUUACACACAUUUUUUUAAGAUUGAAUGAUGUAAUUAUUAUGUGUUCUAAAUUUUAA